rnacentral:lncRNA from 1 species
GCUGGUUCUGAGUGUUUACUUUUGAAAUACCGUACGCGGGAUUAGUCUUAGUGAUUAUGGAAACCUGUUGGUUGUGGGUAAAGAGUACAACCUCCGCAGAGUCAAAACUAUCCGAGUAGCCACGUCCACGGUCAAGGAAAGGUAUCUGGAGAACGAGUUUGUUUAUGAAAAUGCUAAAAUGAUGACAUCUGACUGUGAUGAUGGAACUAACGUGAUGGAACUUGGUUGUUUUAAAUAUCCCGAAGGUUGGUUGUUCCACCCGAAUAUUCAUUUACCUUUAUGCCAUUUCUGUGGUGUCACUAAGACAUCCGACUGAGACGAGCAUUUACUUUUAUGCCCUUUCUCUGGUGUCGCUAAGAUGCCCGAGUGAGGCGAGCAUUUACUUUUAUGCCCUUUCUACGGUGUCGCUAAGACUCCCGACUGCGGCGAGCAUUUAAUUUUGUCCCUUUCUGUGGUGUUGCUAAGACCCCCGACUAAGGCGAGCAUUUACUCUUGUGCCCUUCUCAUGGUGUCACCUAGAUGCCCGACUCUAGCUUGUUAAUUUAUUUUGCCCUGUAUGUGGUGUCGCUUUGACGCCCGAUGGUAGUUAUUUAUUUUUACUUGUUUACCUUUUGAGGCAUCGCUUCAGACACCCGAUCAGUGCAUUUUAUUUUAUUUUGGAUAUUUUUGGAGGACUACCGCCCGACUUAUCUAUCAUAACCUAACUGCUAUUAUUUUUUCUAUCAUCAUAAUUGUGAUAAUUAACCAUGCAUAUGAUAUUGUUGCAUCCAUCUUAUCUUUUUCAAACUGUCUAGCAAGUACUUUAAAAGUACUCACUGGCUUGUUUAUGUGGCCAAAUAUGGAUGAAGGAGACCUCAUGGAUGAAGAGUACGAUAGCGAGUCCGAUGCCUAGAGGAGUCCUAGUUAGUCUUGCGAUCUUGGAGUUUCUCAUUGUAUUAUCUCACCGCUUAUGCCACCGCAAAUAAAUAGUCAAGCCUCACUCUUACGCUUGGCAUGUAGUAGUACUGAAGCAAUGUCACUUCACUCCGAUGUGACAUGCCUACCUAUCUAUGCGAGCAGUAGAGCUACCCCAUGUCCACUGUGAUAUAUCUGCCCUUAUGUUAAGUAUGGGUGUGUUGUAAUAAACUAUAGAGCGACCUCCGCUCUACCCUGUUUAAUAUUAAGUACUACUGGUUCUGUGAAUCAGGAUUGGUCUAUGGUUGUGAAUGAUUUUCUA